UCUCCGUAGGUGAACCAGCGGAGGGAUCAUUACAGAGUUGCAAAACUCCCAAACCAUUGUGUACGUUACCUAUCCCGUUGCUUCGGCGGGCGGCCCGGGCCCCGCGCCCGGCGCCCCCCGGCCCCCCGUGGGCGCCCGCCGGAGGUAAACUAAUCUGUUGAAUUGACUGUCCUCCCUGAGUUUUCUGUACUGAAUAAGUCAAAACUUUCAACAACGGAUCUCUUGGUUCUG
rnacentral:misc_RNA from 1 species